ACCCGAAAUAAUGAAACCUUAAAUAGCUAAUUGGUAGCUUAAGGUGACUACAAUCAAAGAAAAUGGUUGACUUUGAAGAAACCAUCUUUGACGUAGUCUUGUUUUCAAUUAAUUUGAAGAUUGCUAGCUACAACUAAAUGGUGAUUCAAUGUUUGGACAUAAUAUAGUUUUCUGAAACCAUUAGUAAGAUAGUCUUGAUAAUAUAUGUCUAAAACUAUGAAUCACAAGACAUGUAAG
rnacentral:lncRNA from 1 species